rnacentral:lncRNA from 1 species
UCUGGUACAGGAUUAUUCAAUAUCUAUUACUUCAUUGAUAAUAUUAUUGGCUGUGUAUAUAUUUUUCUGUGGACAUUCUACUAUAUGAAUCAACAUUUUACUUACUGCUCAAAUUAUUUACUUCAUCAUGUUGCAUAUACGAGUUUGGCAUACAGACUUUAAGGUUGUUUGAUAUUACACCAAUUUACCGCAUAUCUACUCUAGAUUGAUC